rnacentral:rRNA from 1 species
CCAAGGUUGACCUCGGAUCAGGUAGGAAGACCCGCUGAACUUAAGCAUAUCAUUAAAGCGGAGGAA